UCUAUCGACGAACAAAUUAUAGCGUUGCCGUGUUUUAACCACUCCAAUUCAGACUUACGGCCAAUAAAGAUUCACUACACCGGCCACACUGAAUCCUAAUCAAGGUCAGUUGGAAGGUGUUGUAUUCGGCUGAUCGAUUCCACUUCUUCCACUCUUGAUUGAAUUUCGGAACCGUUAUGGAAGUCAGUUGGAUUCAUGCAUCUUCAUUGACUAUCACAUUAACAACAAUUUCCCACUACUCACACGAUAUAUCGUUCAAUGAAUCCUUCGCUUGAAUCCUCCACUAUAAUUAUCAACUUUUGUGGCAACCUCCUCCCUGUUACUCACCGAUUUGUAAGCCGUCCGUUGUAGAUCCACCAUUGAAGUGUGUCUCUUCAGAUUCUGAGAAUCUUGGAAUGUGAAGAAAUCCGGUGAAUUUAUGGGUGUUGGUAUGCUUCUCGUCGAUGGAAAGUUAAUUCCGUUACUUUGUCGAAGACAAAGAAGAAAGGAAGGGAGGGAGCACAAGAAGACUAUUGUUAAUUGAAACAGAGAGGUUGUCAAGAAAUAUAAUUCUGAUUAUGCUUUCUCUUUUGAAAACAUGAGAAAUAUCAAAUUCAAGGAGUUCAGACAACAGUAUAUACAAAAUGGAAGGUUCUUCCCCGGCUCAAACAAAGCGAUGCAGGUUGCUCUUGGUCGUCCUGCUUCUGGUGAAAUCCAUCAUGCCAUCUUUAGAACCUCAAGAUAUGCCAAAUGAAGAGGUUGAACUGAAGAAAGGUCCUCCAGAACAGUUCACACAUGAGAUGGAUCCAGGAUGGUGUUGUUCGAUUGAUUUCCAAUUCACCGGUAAAUAUUCUGGAAACGUUACGAGAACCAGAUUCAUCCAAUCAUCGUCUUUAAGGCCCUCAUCAACAUUUCCCACUCUUCACACGAUCUGUCAUUUAAUGCAUCCCCAUUAUUGAUAUUGUGUGAAUCAUCCAAUAUAAAUAGGUUAUCUCAUUCCAGCGAAACUCAUAUUAAUCAUUUCUCUUGAUCAUAUAGAUUUCUAUACUUUCAGAGCUAAGAAUGACUAACUCUGCUCUCUUCUUCGCCGACUUGAGGGCUGGUCAUUGAACCACCACGGUGGUGGUCCAACUACUUAGGUUUUGGGAAGCGAGGUACUUGAAGCGAGGCAUUGAGAUUAUGGGUUUAGACAUGCUCAUCCCCGACGCAAAGAUUGUAUCUGGUAGGCAAGGGAUUGUCUAGGAGUGACAGAUAGUGAGAGAGGAGGGAUGAACGGUGAUGACAUAGUCGAAGCUUCGUUGGCUUUGGAUUGGAAACUCUCUCAGGUAUUUUUUGAUGCCGAAGUAGGUUCUGCAAGGACUGCAGCUGAGAAGGAUGCAACCAAGAACAGCGAUGAGCAUGUCAGGUGACGAAAAGGCAUUUGAAAGAGCUAAUGAGGCUGAGAAGUUAAUGCCAUCAUCACAGCAGGAGAUUUCUAACUGCUGAGUCAUGUAACUCUCAAACAAAAUUUUCAGACACUGAGUCAUCUAACUCUUCUUGAAAUUGUAUCGUAUAAUUAGCUGCCAUAAAGAACAAGGACAGGGGGCUCAUGUCAAAGAAACCACCUCUCAUUUCCACGAUUAUGAGUGAGUAUACUUUGACUCAGCUGGUUAUGAGUGUAUUCUAUUUGCCUCUCUUUUGAAAGGUAACGAAUGUUAAAACUUUAAUCCAAUAAUGUUGUUUUCAUUCACCUGAUCAAAUAUAAGCUCUCAAUAAUGUUUCCAUUCUCAUGGUGUUAUGAUAACAAUAAGCAAACCAGAUAGUGAUCAACGGGAAGUGGAUUGACUUUGAGGAUUUAAAGAUGCAAGCAUUCCAAGCCAAUAUUUUAAAGGUGUUGCGAUGCCAACAAGAACCCUUUAACCUCUUCGUCCCAAGUUACAUAACGCUGCAGCAGACACCACGCUGCAGCAGACACCAUUAAAAAAAGUAUUCAAGUGAUUAUCAACUUAUCAUCUCCAAUUUUGAGCUUUGAAAUUCAUUUGAUGAAUCUCGUUACCUGCUCUUCAAUGCAUCUUACUCCGUUUAAGAUGUAUAUAAAAAUUGUGCAAGAGAACUCUUCAAAUCGUUCCUUUCUUAGGGUUUCCGCCUUCUGCAGAAACUGCUUUUACUACAAACAGCUGAGGUGAUUCCUUGCUGCCGUCUAAACAGCCAGAAGAAGCGGCAAUACUCACAAAACAGUUACAUCUCACGAGUUUACUAUCCUUCCAAUUUACUAACUGUCUACAUUUUAACAUUACUGAUACACUAAAAAUGAAUCCUUGCUACUGCCAAGUUAACAGUUGCAAUUGUAGUACUUAAGAUUCAAAUCCAGAGGACCAGUCUACACUCUAGUUCUAUAAGUUCCGAAAUCAAGCUAAGAUGAAGAUAUGAUUUUGGUUGAAAGAGGCGAUAGUUAACAAGCAAAAUAAACACGAGAUUGAUUCAAUUAAACAAGAGCUAGCCUAGGGUAUUUCAUUGGGUGUUGAAUUGGAGCCAAAAAAUUAUUCAAGCGCGAUGAAGUGCUUUCUAGAACUCGGAUCACUCAGCUGGAACACUCCACUAUCGUGGCAGUGAUCGCUUUGCAGAUCGAUCUCACCACCUAACUGUCGUUGGGAUGAAAUAGCAAGCUUUAGAGAACAGGCCCGAUCAGUUCACUUGCCACCCUAAUAUCUACUUUCGCUGAUUAGGGAUACUAAGCUCAUUCAAUACAUGUCAAGUUAUCAUCCUAAGCGGUUAACUAAGUGAUGAACUAGUGAUCUAACAUCAAGUGAUCAGGUUAAUGAAAGCAGUAAGAAAAGUAUGAAUGAAGAACAGUUAUGGAUCGCUUAUCUAUGUUUAGCUCAUGUCUCAACACCCUAAAAACCCUAGGCGAGCAAGGUUACUACUCGAUCAUGAUGCAAAUAGACAAAGACAUAAAUCCUGAAUAAAAUUGCAUAAGAACAGAGUAUGAAACAAUAGGGUUCAGAUGAUCUUCUCUAUGAGAGGAUGGAUUUCUUCUCCCUUACAAGUUGCAGAUCGCAAAUACUCAGUGUUCUCUUGUAAAAACUAGCGUAAGAAAAUAGUAAAAAGAUAGAUGGCAUUUUUAUAUGGAGGCGCCAAUCAGAAGAAAGGAGAUUAGGGCAACAGGGCUUUAAUUCCCGAAAUAGGAGUUUUCAUAUUCGUCUGGAAUAAUCUCCGGAUCACUCCGUCUGCUUGUUCCGCUUGAGAGAGAACAGUCUUGGGACUGUUCUCUUGAGUGUUCUCCGCAGGAAUGCUCCAAAAGGACUUCUUUUCAUCAGACACCUUCUCUUCUUUCUUCUACUAACUCCAGACAUGUAAAAGGUCAAAAAGGACUAGACUGACACAAAUUAGUGACUUGAAACAAAUGAAAACAUAUAUACAAUGAUGUGAAAAACACCAUAUAUCAA